rnacentral:rRNA from 1 species
UACGUAGGCAGCGAGCGUUGUUCGGAGUUACUGGGCGUAAAGAGUGCGUAGGUGGUUUUCUAAGUUUGGUGUGAAAUUUCCCGGCUUAACUGGGAGGGUGCGCCGAAAACUGGGAGACUUGAGUGUGGGAGAGGAAAGCGGAAUUCCUGGUGUAGCGGUGAAAUGCGUAGAUAUCAGGAGGAACACCUGCGGUGUAGACGGCUUUCUGGACCACUACUGACACUGAGGCACGAAAGCGUGGGUAG